GCGGCGUGCCUAAUACAUGCAAGUAGAACGCACAGUUUAUACCGUAGCUUGCUACACCAUAGACUGUGAGUUGCGAACGGGUGAGUAACGCGUAGGUAACCUGCCUGGUAGCGGGGGAUAACUAUUGGAAACGAUAGCUAAUACCGCAUAAUAUUAAUUAUUGCAUGAUAAUUGAUUGAAAGGUGCAAUUGCACCACUACCAGAUGGACCUGCGUUGUAUUAGCUAGUAGGUGAGGUAACGGCUCACCUAGGCGACGAUACAUAGCCGACCUGAGAGGGUGAUCGGCCACACUGGGACUGAGACACGGCCCAGACUCCUACGGGAGGCAGCAGUAGGGAAUCUUCGGCAAUGGACGAAAGUCUGACCGAGCAACGCCGCGUGAGUGAAGAAGGUUUUCGGAUCGUAAAGCUCUGUUGUAAGAGAAGAACGGGUGUGAGAGUGGAAAGUUCACACUGUGACGGUAUCUUACCAGAAAGGGACGGCUAACUACGUGCCAGCAGCCGCGGUAAUACGUAGGUCCCGAGCGUUGUCCGGAUUUAUUGGGCGUAAAGCGAGCGCAGGCGGUUAGAUAAGUCUGAAGUUAAAGGCUGUGGCUUAACCAUAGUACGCUUUGGAAACUGUUUAACUUGAGUGCAGAAGGGGAGAGUGGAUUCCAUGUGUAGCGGUGAAAUGCGUAGAUAUAUGGAGGAACACCGGUGGCGAAAGCGGCUCUCUGGUCUGUAACUGACGCUGAGGCUCGAAAGCGUGGGGAGCGAACAGGAUUAGAUACCCUGGUAGUCCACGCCGUAAACGAUGAGUGCUAGGUGUUAGGCCCUUUCCGGGGCUUAGUGCCGCAGCUAACGCAUUAAGCACUCCGCCUGGGGAGUACGA
rnacentral:rRNA from 1 species